GAUGAACGCUGGCGGCGUGCCUAAUACAUGCAAGUCGAGCGAACGGACGAGAAGCUUGCUUCUCUGAUGUUAGCGGCGGACGGGUGAGUAACACGUGGAUAACCUACCUAUAAGACUGGGAUAACUUCGGGAAACCGGAGCUAAUACCGGAUAAUAUUUUGAACCGCAUGGUUCAAAAGUGAAAGACGGUCUUGCUGUCACUUAUAGAUGGAUCCGCGCUGCAUUAGCUAGUUGGUAAGGUAACGGCUUACCAAGGCAACGAUGCAUAGCCGACCUGAGAGGGUGAUCGGCCACACUGGAACUGAGACACGGUCCAGACUCCUACGGGAGGCAGCAGUAGGGAAUCUUCCGCAAUGGGCGAAAGCCUGACGGAGCAACGCUGCGUGAGUGAUGAAGGUCUUCGGAUCGUAAAACUCUGUUAUUAGGGAAGAACAUAUGUGUAAGUAACUGUGCACAUCUUGACGGUACCUAAUCAGAAAGCCACGGCUAUCUACGUG
rnacentral:rRNA from 1 species